rnacentral:rRNA from 1 species
AUAGGGGAGCCGGAGGGAAACCGAGUCUUAACCGGGCGUUAAGUUGCAGGGUAUAGACCCGAAACCCGGUGAUCUAGCCAUGGGCAGGUUGAAGGUUGGGUAACACUAACUGGAGGACCGAACCGACUAAUGUUGAAAAAUUAGCGGAUGACCUGUGGCUGGGGGUGAAAGGCCAAUCAAACCGGGAGAUAGCUGGUUCUCCCCGAAAGCUAUUUAGGUAGCGCCUCGUGAAUUCAUCUCCGGGGGUAGAGCACUGUUUCGGCUAGGGGGCCAUCCCGGCUUACCAACCCGAUGCAAACUGCGAAUACCGGAGAAUGUUAUCACGGGAGACACACGGCGGGUGCUAACGUCCGUCGUGAAGAGGGAAACAACCCAGACCGCCAGCUAAGGUCCCAAAGUCAUGGUUAAGUGGGAAACGAUGUGGGAAGGCCCAGACAGCCAGGAUGUUGGCUUAGAAGCAGCCAUCAUUUAAAGAAAGCGUAAUAGCUCACUGGUCGAGUCGGCCUGCGCGGAAGAUGUAACGGGGCUAAACCAUGCACCGAAGCUGCGGCAGCGACGCUUAUGCGUUGUUGGGUAGGGGAGCGUUCUGUAAGCCUGUGAAGGUGGCCUGUGAGGGUUGCUGGAGGUAUCAGAAGUGCGAAUGCUGACAUAAGUAACGAUAAAGCGGGUGAAAAGCCCGCUCGCCGGAAGACCAAGGGUUCCUGUCCAACGUUAAUCGGGGCAGGGUGAGUCGACCCCUAAGGCGAGGCCGAAAGGCGUAGUCGAUGGGAAACGGGUUAAUAUUCCCGUACUUGGUGUUACUGCGAAGGGGGGACGGAGAAGGCUAUGUUGGCCGGGCGACGGUUGUCCCGGUUUAAGCGUGUAGGUGUGUGUUCCAGGUAAAUCCGGUUCACUUUAACACUGAGGCGUGAUGACGAGGCACUACGGUGCUGAAGCAACAAAUGCCCUGCUUCCAGGAAAAGCCUCUAAGCAUCAGGUAACAUCAAAUCGUACCCCAAACCGACACAGGUGGUCAGGUAGAGAAUACCAAGGCGCUUGAGAGAACUCGGGUGAAGGAACUAGGCAAAAUGGUGCCGUAACUUCGGGAGAAGGCACGCUGACACGUAGGUGAAGUGAUUUACUCA